rnacentral:lncRNA from 1 species
UCAGUUUUGGGGGUUUUCUCGAGUUGGCAGAUUCGAGUUGAGUUUAUCGGAUCGAGUCGUGAAUUUGGUUCCAGUUCGUUGGCAACAUCAACAAUUUGGCUUUGAAAUAAACUUGAGGUCUAUUUUUCAUCUCUUUCUUCAUAAUUUCGUAAUCUUUAAGUGAAUGAUUGAGUGAAUUGUUGUUUGUUUUGAUCCGGUGUUUGAUUUUCGUAAUUAUGGAUUGUAUGAUGAAAUGGUAUCUUGUUUGAAAAUUAAAGUUAAUUGUUUGGGGGGUGGAAUUGAAAUUGAUAAAAAGCAAACGUUAAUUUAUUUUGAUUCAAUGAUAUCGUUGAUGUGAUAAUGCUAUGAUAGAUUGAGCUCGGGUAGGCAAAUACAAAGUUUGGGUAGGAAAAUUGUAAAAAAUAGAAGAGGGUGAUUUGUUGAAUGUGUGAAUAUUUUUUGAAUGGUAUUAUUUACCGCAUUUGAAUCAAUUAUAUUCAUGUAAUCGGGGAAUGCCCCGAAGCCAUUUGUAUUUAUUCAUCGGGGAAUGCCCCGAGGUAUAUUGUACCCGGAGGAUGUUAGUGAUGAAGGACCAAGGCAUCGGGUAAAGUAUUGGAGCACAGUUUUGGAUUUGUGUAGGUUUAAUUUUAGUACCCUUUUUAUUUUGGGUUAUAAUAAUUGGACUGGAUAUUAUAUUUUUUGAUUUGUUUUGUUUCGUGUGUUUGAUUGAUUGUUUUAUGUGUUUUGUAUGGUUUAUACAUUUGUAAUCUCAAAUUAGCCGAUAUGCACCACCAAGCGACCGUGGUCAAAUCACGGGAUCGAGGGGUGCCUAACACCUUCCCCUCAAUCAACAGAAGUCCUUAGCCAGAAUCUCUGUUUGUGGAUCAGCUUUAAAGAGAAAUAAUUUUAAAAAAGAAUAUCCAAGGGUGACUUGGCUCACUCGAUUUAUGCCAAGCGGAGACUCUGAGUUUUAAAUAUAAAAGGUCCUUUUCGAAAUAAAUUUUUAAACUUUUGUCACUUUAAUAAUAAAAACCCUUUCAAACUUUAAAAGUAAUCUUUUUGGUCAAAAAUGGGUGUGAUAGCUCUAGCGACUCUGCUGGGGAAUGUUUUCAGAAUUCGAGCUUAUUUUGGAGUUGUAUUGGCUUAGUUUGGCAAUAUAGGUGUAUAGACAUUUUGUUUGAUUGUUUUGUAUUAUUUUUUAUCAUUGUUGAGUGCCUACGUGCUCUUUUUUUUUACAGUUUUUACUUUUUGUUACCGCUUUAUAUCUGACAUCAUAUGCAUCAUAACCCAAGUCAUUCUUUCUGCAACAAGUCCAUAGUACACGUGUGUACACGACCUAUAGUUGAGUCAUCUUUAUUAUAGGAGGGGGAGCCGUUGGGUUGUACGGAGUAGGUGGAAAGCUAUCCCAGCCACUAUCGACCAUACGCUCCCCCGAACAGCCUUGUUAGUAAACCCCAACAUAGGUCAGGCUUUAGGUCAUGCUUAUGUGCAUCAUAUUGAGACCUAGCGGGACCCACUUGGUCCUUUAUAGGAGACUCACCUCUAAAGCAUCCGUACAUGCUAAAUGUUGCAUCUUUGAGGGUAACAGUAUCAUUUGAUAGACUGUUUUAGACAAAAGCAUGUUCUAGAAUUAAAGGAAGUGUGUAGACAAGGAAAAGUUUUUAAAAAAGGAGAAAAUGAGAAAAGGUGAAUUGAAAAAAGAGUUUCGUAGUCUUUUUAGAGUUUAUAUGACUUUUGUUCUCCACAAUCUCAAAAUUCAAAAUGAUUUUUACCUUUUGUACUCAUAUCUAAAAAAAAACAUCAAAAAGAUUUUUCCUUUGUCUCAUUUAGCAUGGAUUCACAAUUCGAAAACUUCAAAAAGAUUUUUCAUUCAUAGAAAUUUUUAUAAAAGAAAAAUGCAAAAAAAAAUUGUAGGAGUUUUGUAUAUUUCAUGAAAAUACCGAAAAGAUUUUCUUUCAUAGUUGUUGGUGUCAUUUUUAUGUGAAGUGUCAAAUUAAAAAUUCAAAAAGAUUUUAUUAAAAUUUUGCAUCUUCUGUUUGUGCUCAUAUCUCUCAAGUCAGGGUGUUGGUUAUUUAAUCCUUAAUUGUCCAUUCUGGACGAACUACGCACCCCUGAUUCUCCUCUCUCGGGAGUGAGAUACGUAGGCAGCCUAUUGUGGGUUCGGAGAUCUUAUUUCAAAAAAUUCAAAUUUUUUUUUUCACUCUUCACUUAGAGUAGGUGUUUCAUAUACAUCUUUAAAAGAAAACUACAAAAUUUUUUUCGUUUAAUAGGUUCAAGUUUCAUUUUCAUAUGAAAUUCAGAAUCGAAAAUACAAAAAAAAAAUUCUUUGGUAAUUAUGGUUUCAUUUUGUAUAGAAAUCUGAAAAAAUUCAAAAAAAAUUUUCUUCACUCUUCACUUAGAGUAGGUGUUUAUAUAGUUUCAAGUUUAUUUUAAUAUUAAAUUCAAAAUUGAAAACCCCAAAAGAUUUUUAUUUGGUAAUCAUAAGUUUCGUUUUGUAUGAGUAUUUAAAUUUGCAAAAAGAUUUUCGUUAAUUAUUUUGACAAUUUAUUAUUUCCUUUUCUUUUUAAAGUUUCAAAAAAAGAAAAAAAAAGGAAAAAGAGUUUAGUUGGCCAUUUUGGCAAGACUUCACGACUACGCACAACCGAUUCUCUUCUUUUGAGAGUGAGAUACGUAGGUGCCCUUCUUGGGUUCGGUGAUCUUUUCAAAAAAGGGAAAAAGAGUUUUGAAAAGUGUUGAACUCUAACACAUUUAUUGUUUUUUUUGUUGAGUCAGUUUAAGGUGAUUGGUUUGUGGCAUUCUGGCUGGUCCUCCACAUCACACCAAAUCCAAAGGGUUAGGUGUGUCCAACAAAGAUUUAGAGAGUGACAUCAUGAAUCAAACAAAUAGUCAAGAAAUUGAGAGUUUAAAUAAAGAGAAUUUGAGAAUAAGGCAACAAAUGAUGGAAAUGUAUCGUGCUAGGGUCAGUGAGGUGCCUCCUCCUCCAUUCCUUACUAUUGACCCCAUAAAUACCCUGAGUUUUUUUUUAUCACAAUUGGAAGCUCUAAGUUCUAAUGCUGUUGAUGCACUGCAACAUGCCUCAGAAUUCAUUCUAAUCCAAAAGAAUCUCAAUACUUCUGUCACUCUUCCUCUAGCUUCUCAAUAUAAGCUUGCUAUAUUAACAAGACCACAUACUACCUGUGCUUUUGUUGCUCAACCUUCUGUUGAGGCUUCCACUUUGGAUAUCAAUCCAAUGAUUGUGCUGACCCAAUCUAUUAGUGGACCCAUGUUCAAUACUCUUAAUGAUAGUUGCUAUACUCCCGAGACCAUAUCAAUGUUAAUUGGACCACCAAAAUUUCUUAACAAGAAGUCUAGCUUGUCAGAAGAGCCAGAGAUAAUGGUUGGAAAAAUAAAGAGUACAAAAAAUGCUAGGAAAAGUUUCCUAGGACCUGGGGGUAAAGAAGAUGUUUCAUAUAAAGAAUUAGGCAGGUUUUCAAGUGUUAACCUUCCUCCAAUCCUUGAGAUGUUGAAACUUGAGAAGCAAGAUGAACAUGAGGAAUUCGUGAAGCAUUUAGGAAAAUAUUGCAAUCAAGUAAGGGAAACUGGAGGGAAGAAGAAUGAGAAAGAUGCAGCUUCUAUAGUAGUUAGAGAACGGGCAUAUCCAAGAACGAUGUCGUUGUCACCGUCAGUCUCAAACCCAAGUUCAUACCUAAGCUCUCAGUAAUCCCUCCCAAAGUUCAUUAUACUCCAUUUACCCACCUCUAUAUCUAGUAUAUUACGCACCACCAUAUUUUCAACUCCCUUCUUACUCAUAAUGGUGUGCACCAACUCUUCAGAGUUACCUUCCUACUCCACAAACCUACCAAAGCCCUUCUAGGACCGAUUUUGGAUCCAAGCUAAACAAUGAAACGAGGUAUAAAUAGAGGGAUAGAUUCACACUAAUUGGAGAAUCGUAUGCCAGCUUAUUUUAGAGAUUGGUACAAUGGGGCAUGAUCACUUCUCUCCUUAGGGACACUCUUAAUCCCUGUUAAAGAAAUUUUGAUCCUAAUGCACGAUGUGCAUAUAAUUCCAAUGCUCGAGGUCAUAGUAUUAAAGUUUGCCGAGAUUUGAAAAGAGAAAUUGAAAAGAUAAUUCAGGAUGGAUCAAUUAUGGAGCAGAACAUUGACAGUGACGGAAGCUCUAGUUAUGCUGAUAUGCAAAUUAGUGGCUAAGUUGUCAGGUUGAGCAAUUGAGAAGUCACCUCUCUCCCUACUAGGAAGAGGUUUGGUAGUUUGUUUUGUUUUCUUUUCUAUUUUCUGAAUCAUUUCAGGGUUGUAGUUCGGGAUCCAUCUUGUUUUGUCCCUUUGUCGUUUAUGUUCAAACCCUUUUCUCUUUUAUUUUUACUAAAUAAAGUGUCCCUUUUUCUUUGUGUUUUAAAUAUAUGUUGUUUGUUUGUUUUCUUUACACAGUACAUUUUAUGUUGAUUCUAGUGAUAUGACAUGCUAGUGAAAUUUUCAGCUUGAUCUUAAAAUCCAAUUUAAGCAUGAACUUUGAAUUAGAUGGCUAAAGUUAGAAAAAGCAUCUGAGAAAAUUGAUAGAGUGUUGACACAUUUGGUGACCAUGUUAAAGCCCUUUUUUCAAAAUUAAGAAAAUUAUUUUGAGAAUCACAAGAAUAACUUGGUCAUCAAUUGAAAAACAUAGCUCAAUUAGGUCAAAUAGCGGAUGUGUGAUCCCGAGGAACAGAAAAAUCAACUCUACAAAGUCAUGAGUCCUUCAGCAUGAGGAAGCUACAACAAAGUGGAGUUGUAUGCUGGAUAUGCACAGAAGUAGUGAUGCACACGCUCAGUUAAGUUAGUUCUAUAAAAAUGUCAUACAUGAUCUUCAUCUCCCAUUUUCAUAUUGCAUGUUAUGUACUUGCAUUUUUAAGGAUUGAUAUGAUGAAGGCAUUUUAUUCUUCUAUCCAAAAAGUGUGUCAUCCUUUGUUUAUCCCAUUUGAGCCUUAGUUAUAUUUUGUUUCGUACCCCUCUUUUGGAAUUAGGAUAGAGUCUGCAACGUCUAAGAAAAAGUAUUGAAAAAAAAAGAGAUCAGAAAAGUUUCAAAAAAGAGACAAAAUAUGUCCAAAAAGAAAGAAAAGAAGAGUGUUAAGAAAAUGGAGUCAGAAAAACAAUCCCAAAGAGAAAAGAUCCAAUAAAAUAAAAAAGAAAGAAAAAUCAGAUCAAAAGAAAGAACAAGUUGCCGAAACUACGUGUGACCUGAUUCUCCUCUUUUGAGGUAAGACACGUAGGCUACCCUACUCAGGGCUUGGUCCAACUAAAUAAACAAUUUAGAAUUUCCCAGUCAAAACAAACUGGGGCAUGAGUUAAUCCUUAUUGUUUGAGUCGAUUCCAAAAGUUGUAAGUCCUACCCCACUUAAAGUAUCGUUUGGGCCCUAUGCCAUCAUUUCUUUCUAACCCUAUCCAAAAGCCAAGUUACAACCAAAGAAAGACCUUCAGAUCAAUCUUUGAGAAUGUUGAGGCUAAGCAUGCAAUGAAUGUGAUGAAACAUUUUGGGAACUAGUUGUCUUCCUCAACAUAAGAAAUUAGGAGAUAAAUAAAAAUGAGAGAGUCUUAUCGGUGAAAACCCUUACGGGUAUCGUAAGACGAUGGUAAGCUGAGAAAGAUAAAAAUGAGAGUCUUAUUGGUGAAAACCCUCACGGGCACUAUAAGACGACGGUGAGUUGAGACAAAUGAAAAUAAGAGAGCCUUAUUGGUGAAAAACCCUCAUAGACACCAUAAGGAAAUUGUGAGCUGGGAAAAAGAAAAAUGAGAGAGGCUUAUUGGCAAAAACCAUUCAAGAGGCCACUAGCCGAAUGAGGUCUUAAAUGCAAUUGAACUAAGGAAGCAACUCAAUUUCGAGGUCAUUAACUCAACAACAAUUGGUAGAAAGUUUUGGAUAGAAAGAUCAAGCAGUUUAAUCCGAUAUGCAUGUCAUAAUCAUUAGAGUUGACUGUCGUUUUCAAAUAAAAUUUUCUUUUAUGUUCUUCAACAGGGACAUUCAUUGUGUUUCUUUAUUCUGUUUAGUUAUAUUUUUAUUUUCUUGAGUUAGUUAUCCAAAUAAAACAAAAAUUGUUGUAAUUUUUCUCUUGUCUUUGAGUCAAGUCCAUGUCAGACCAAGUAAGAAAAGAUUUCAAAACUAGCUACCAGUUUCUUCAAUUGUACAAAGCAAGACAAAGGGCCAUCAUAUGAAAGAAACAAGAUUGCAAGUCAGAAUAAGUCAUGCAGAAAGUUUUGUCAAUAGACAAGUCUGGGAACUCAUUGAAAUACCAAGGUUCAAAGGAUUUAUCUGAGGAGAAUGGAAAAAUAGAGAUACUGUGUUUGUUUCAGAGUCAUUUCCACGAUAUAGCAGGGGCAAAAGCCAGCAAUCUUAAACAAAAUGAAGGGAAUGAACACUGGAGCAGGUGUCAGGUAAGCCAAGUGCUGCAAACCACCACUAAGUUUUUAACUGACAAAUUUUCUUUGUUGAAAUAGGGGCAAAUUUGCUUCACUUAGUUUAGCUACCAUUGGAAAUGAACAUCCAUGGAAAUUUACUUUCUAUUCAGGACCUUCCUGAAAAAUAAGAUUUUAUUUUCUGUUCAGGACCCUCCUGGAAAAUGGGAUUUUACUUUCUGCUCAGGACCCUCCUGAAAAAUGGGAAUUUACUUUAUGUUUAGGACCCUCCUGGAAAAUGGGAUUUACUUUAUGUUCAGGACCCUCUUGGAAAAUGGGAUUAUACUUUCUGCUCAGGAACCUCCUGAAAAAUAGGAAUUUACUUUAUGUUCAGGACCCUCCUGGAAAAUGAAAAUGAGAUUUUACUUUCUGCUCAGGACCCUCCUAGAAAAUGGGAAUUUACUUUAUGUUCAGGACCCUCCUGGAAAAUGAGAUUUUACUCUAUGAUCAGGACCCUCCUGGAAAAUGGCCUCCUGGAAAAUGGGAUUUUACUUUAUGUUCAGGACCUUCCUGUAAAAUGGGAUUUUACUUUCUGCUCAGGACCCUCCUGGAAAAUGAGAAUCUACUUUAUGUUCAGGACCCUCCUGGAAAAUGAGAAUCUACUUUAUGUUCAGGACCCUCGUGGAAAAUAGGAUUUUACUUUCUGAUCAGGACCCUCCUGGAAAAUGAGAAUUUUACUUUAUGUUCAGGACCCUCUUGAAAAAUGGAAUUUUACUUUCUGUUCAGGAUCCUCCUUGAAAAUGGGAUUUUACUUUCUGUUCAGGACCCUCCUGAAAAAUGAGAAUUUACUUUAUGUUCAGAACCCUCCUUAAAAAUGGAAAUUUACUUUAUGUUCAGGCCCCUCCUGAAAAAUGAGAAUUUACUUUCUGUUUAGGACGCUCUUGAAAAAUGGGAUUUUACUUUCUGUUCAGGACCCUCCUGAAAAAUGGGAUUUUACUUUCUGCUCAGGACACUCCCGAAAAAUGGAAAUUUAGUUUAUGUUCAGGACCCUCCAAAAAAAUGGGAUUUUACUUUCUGUUCAGGACCCUCCUGAAAAAUGGGAUUUUACUUUCUGCUCAGGGCCCUCCUGGAAAUGAGAAUUUACUUUAUGUUUAGGACUCUCCUGAAAAAUGGGAUUUUACUUUCUGCUCAGGGCCCUCCUGGAAAUGAGAAUUUACUUUAUGUUCAUGCCCCUCCUGGAAAAUGGGAUUUUACUUUCUUUUUAGGACCCUCCUAGAAAAUGGAAAUUUACUUUAUGUUCAAGACUCUCAUGAAAAAUGGAACUUUGUUGUCAAUAAAUAAAAUCUGUCUUUGUCAUAAUCUUAGUUUGGGAUAAUUUUCAUUUUAGUUUUGAUUUUGAUUUCAGAAGUACGCAUGAGGAACAGGGUGAGAAAAAGUUGCAAGUCAGGAGCCCGCCUGAAAAAUAGGGUGAUGAAAUUGAAAGUCAAUCAACAAGGGG